rnacentral:rRNA from 5 species
ACCCUUUAAUGUUUGAUGUUCUAACGUGGACCCGUAAUCCGGGUUGCGGACAGUGUCUGGUGGGUAGUUUGACUGGGGCGGUCUCCUCCUAAAGAGUAACGGAGGAGCACGAAGGUUGGCUAAUCCUGGUCGGACAUCAGGAGGUUAGUGCAAUGGCAUAAGCCAGCUUGACUGCGAGCGUGACGGCGCGAGCAGGUGCGAAAGCAGGUCAUAGUGAUCCGGUGGUUCUGAAUGGAAGGGCCAUCGCUCAACGGAUAAAAGGUACUCCGGGGAUAACAGGCUGAUACCGCCCAAGAGUUCAUAUCGACGGCGGUGUUUGGCACCUCGAUGUCGGCUCAUCACAUCCUGGGGCUGAAGUAGGUCCCAAGGGUAUGGCUGUUCGCCAUUUAAAGUGGUACGCGAGCUGGGUUUAGAACGUCGUGAGACAGUUCGGUCCCUAUCUGCCGUGGGCGCUGGAGAACUGAGGGGGGCUGCUCCUAGUACGAGAGGACCGGAGUGGACGCAUCACUGGUGUUCGGGUUGUCAUGCCAAUGGCACU